rnacentral:lncRNA from 1 species
UCUGGCACAUGCUUUAUAUUUAGAAACUCAUAACAAGAGAUCAACCAAUGAAAUAAAGUCAAGGAACUACUUCUGGGGUCUGUACAUGUACCACAAAAAGUAAUCCAUAUUUUUUUCUGUUUUAUAUCAGAGUAAUCUUCAAAAUUUGUGAGCAUGUGAUUGAAUGGAAUAAAAUCUUCCUCUAGUACAAAACUAUUUUAACAUCAUAGAUGUAUCAUUUACCUUCAUUAAUAGCUGACUGUAAAUGGCACAUUUGCCCAAGAAUAUCAAAAUUUCAAAUCUACACAGGAAGUUCUUUGACAGAGAACAGAAUAGAGUAAAAUAUUUGGGAGAGUGUUUCCCUAAAUAUUUUACUAUGUGCAGUUUAUUUCAUCUUGGAAGUUAACAAUAAUUAACAGAAUGCACCAGGUAUAGCAUCAUAUGUGUAUACACAUAUAAAGUAUCAGCACACAUGAAUGAAUUGAGACAUGUUUAGUGACCAAAUGUAUUGUGUUCAAAGGCUCCAUCCAACAGUUCAAAGACAUGUCAUAGCAGUGGAGCAAAUGGUGGCAAAUGACAGCUUUGUGGUGGUUAGUGAAAAACUGUGGCAAUCUACACUGGUGGUGGCAAACACUGACAGAAAAUUUCUGGACCAGUAGUGACAUUAAGCUGAAAAUAAUGACAUAUUUUACACUGUACUGAAGAUGUAAUUGCGAAAAUUAUUUAAGAAAUAAUAUAUCUCAUUCAGUGCUUUGUCGCUGAAUAAAUCAUUGUUUGGAGUUCAGAUGCGAAGGAAUUAUAUCACGAGGGCGCAACAUUACUGAAAGGACUUUCUUCAAACUUUCACAAGUGAACAAUCUUGACGGGUAGAUACAACUACAAUUACAUUGCAUCCAAAAUCAGUGGCACAGAAACCGGUAGGGGACUAUGUACUGCCUUGCAAUACUUCAGCACCUUGUUGUUUUAUAUGUGUAACCUGUAAAUGAUUAUUGGUGUGUUUUAUAAAGUUAAGAAGUCCUAGAUGAAAUUUUUAGUUUUUAAUUUUAGCCUCACCUAUGGACAUGCACUGCUUAGGGGAGCUCAUUUGUGAUCAUCCUUUGUCCAAGACCGUGAAUCAAACCUACAACCUGCUGCACACAGCAUUUUCAUUUAGGAUAUAAUUAUAUGGGGUAUAACUUUUUACUAUUUCAGGGCCCUUAGAACUAGGCUGGAAUAUUUUCCAGGUUAUACCAGGCUCAUUUUCCAGCAUUCACUGGAAAAUUUACCAUGGUAAAACCUGGAACAUUUUCCAGCCUAAUCCAGGCUAUGCUGGAAAAUGUUCCAGGCUUUUCCAGACUUUGGUUAAAAAAUGGUCCGAAUACUCCAGGUUCAUGGAAAAACAGGAAUUUUAUUCCUGGCAGCCUGGAAGAUGUUCCAGAUUUUACCAUGGUAUAUUUUCCAGGGAUGCUGGUAUAUCAUGGUACAUAUUCCAGCCUUGGCUUUUUCAAAUUUUCCACAUUGAUAAAUUGGUUAGGCUGGAAAAGGCUGGAAACUUAGUCCGAAUACUCCAGGCUUUUUUUUUCCAUGGAAUUCCAUGGUAAACCCUGGAACUAUUU